rnacentral:rRNA from 1 species
UCAAGCUACUAAGGGCAUACGGCGGAUGCCUAGGCGCCAUCAGCCGAUGAAGGACGCGGUAAGCUGCGAAAAGCUACGGGGAACUGCAAGCAAGUAUUGAUCCGUAGAUGUCCGAAUGGGGAAACCCACCUGCCGUCAUGGGCAGGUAUCCGAAAGGAAGGGAACCCGGGGAACUGAAACAUCUAAGUACCCGGAGGAAGAGAAAUCAAACGAGAUGCCCACAGUAGCGGCGAGCGAAGAGGGCAGAGGGCAAACCGGUGAGCUACGGCUCGCCGGGGUUGAGGACUGCAUUUAGUCUCAAUGGUCUAUCCGAACUACCUGGAAAGGUAGGCAAUACAGUGUAAAAGCCACGUAGGUUAAAGACCGGAGAGAUGAGCAGUAUCCAGAGUACCACGAGGCACGAGGAAUCUUGUGGGAAGCCGGGGGGACCACCCUCCAACCCUAAACACUGAAUGGCGACCGAUAGCGCAUAGUACCGUGAGGGAAAGGUGAAAAGAACCCCGGGAGGGGAGUGAAAGAGAACCUGAAACCGUAUGUCUACAAGCAGUCGGAGCGAAAGCGACGGCGUGCCUAUUGAAGAAUGAACCAACGAGUUACGUGCACUAGCGAGGUUAAGUGGAAGACACGGAGCCGAAGCGAAAGCGAGUCUUAAGAGGGCGGAUAGUUAGUGUACGUAGACCCGAAACCGCAGUGAUCUACCCAUGUCCAGGUUGAAGCGCAGGUAAAAUUGCGUGGAGGACCGAACCUGUGAGCGUUGAAAAGCUUUAGGAUGAGAUGUGGGUAGAGGUGAAAUUCCAAUCGAACGCGGAGAUAGCUGGUUCUCCCCGAAAUAGCUUUAGGGCUAGCCUCAAGUAGUAAGUAUAGGCGGUAGAGCACUGAUCGGGCUAGGGGCCAUAAAGGUUACCGAACCCUGUCAAACUCCGAAUGGUUAUACUGUAGAGCUUGGGAGUCAGACUACGAGUGAUAAGAUCCGUGGUCAAAAGGGAAACAGCCCAGACCACCAGCUAAGGUCCCCAAUGUCGUACUAAGUGGAAAAGGAUGUGGGGUCUCUAAAACAACCAGGAUGUUGGCUUAGAAGCAGCCACCAUUUAAAGAGUGCGUAAUAGCUCACUGGUCGAGAGACCCUGCGCCGAAGAUUACCGGGGCUAAAGUACGAAACCGAAGCUGUGGCUACGACAUAUGUCGUGGGGUAGGGGAGCGUUCUGUGAGGGCUGAAGUCGUUCUGUAAGGAACGGUGGACUUCACAGAAGUGAGAAUGUUGGUAUGAGUAGCGAAAAGAAUGGUGAGAAUCCAUUCCACCGAAAGCAUAAGGAUUCCUGGGCAACGAUCGUCGUCCCAGGGUAAGUCGGGACCUAAUCCGAGGCAUGGAGCGUAGGAGAUGGACAACUGGCAGAUAUUCCAGUACCGGUAAUGAUUGUUUGAGCGAUGGAGUGACACAGGAGGGCAGGCAGGCAGGAGAUUGGUUGUUCCUGUACAAGCGUGUAGGAUGGGACGCAGGCAAAUCCGCGUCCUGUGAGUCUGAGGCGUGAUGUGGAGGUUCCGGAAACGGAACUGAAGCUGCUGACCCCACACUGUCGAGAAAAGCUUCUAGUUAGAGAAUUACCGCCCGUACCGUAAACCGACACAGGUGGAUGCGGGGAGAGAAUCCUAAGGUGCGCGGGAGAACCCUCGUUAAGGAACUCGGCAAAAUGUACCCGUAACUUCGGGAUAAGGGUAGCCGCUGUUGUGAAGUCUGAACAGACGGAGCAUGAGGCGGUCGCAGAGAAGAGGCCCAAGCGACUGUUUACCACAAACACAGGUGCCUGCUAAAGAGAAAUCUGACGUAUAGGUGCUGACACCUGCCCAGUGCCGGAAGGUUAAGGAAGGAUGUCCGGAGCAAUCCAAAGCAUUCGACCGAAGCCCCGGUGAACGGCGGCCGUAACUAUAACGGUCCUAAGGUAGCGAAAUUCCUUGUCGGGUAAGUUCCGACCCGCACGAAAGGUGUAACGAUUUGGGCACUGUCUCAACGAGGGACCCGGUGAAAUUGAAGUACCUGUGAAGAUGCAGGUUACCCGCGACUGGACAGAAAGACCCCAUGGAGCUUUACUGUAACCUGACAUUGGGUUCUGAUACAUCACGUACAGGAUAGGUGGGAGGCAUGGAAGCGAGGACGCUAGUCUUCGUGGAGCCGCCGUUGGGAUACCACCCUUGAUGUAUCGGAAUUCUAACCGUAGGAGUAACGAAACUCGGGACAGUGUCAGGCGGGCAGUUUGACUGGGGCGGUCG